ACGAACGCUGGCGGCGUGCCUAAUACAUGCAAGUAGAACGCACAGUUUAUACCGUAGCUUGCUACACCAUAGACUGUGAGUUGCGAACGGGUGAGUAACGCGUAGGUAACCUGCCUGGUAGCGGGGGAUAACUAUUGGAAACGAUAGCUAAUACCGCAUAAUAUUAAUUAUUGCAUGAUAAUUAAUUGAAAGGUGCAAUUGCACCACUACCAGAUGGACCUGCGUUGUAUUAGCUAGUAGGUGAGGUAACGGCUCACCUAGGCGACGAUACAUAGCCGACCUGAGAGGGUGAUCGGCCACACUGGGACUGAGACACGGCCCAGACUCCUACGGGAGGCAGCAGUAGGGAAUCUUCGGCAUUGGACGAAAGUCUGACCGAGCAACGCCGCGUGAGUGAAGAAGGUUUUCGGAUCGUAAAGCUCUGUUGUAAGAGAAGAACGGGUGUGAGAGUGGAAAGUUCACACUGUGACGGUAUCUUACCAGAAAGGGACGGCUAACUACGUG
rnacentral:rRNA from 1 species